UAGAUCUAUUAGUUUUACGGCCUUAGUGUUAGGACAUUGAAGACAAACCAACCGCAUGACAAUGUUCGACAAUAAGCUUUGGAUGAAGGUACACAUAGGGAAGAGUGGUCUACAGCCUUUGUUAGGAGUAUAUAAGCCUCGGAAAUGUGAUUGUGAGCAAGUAACGUCUAACGCUAUGUCAACGACAGGCAACUCUAGCAGGGUCUGUUCUUUUCGGUUACCACUCAUGGAUAGUCCUGCCGACAUAGAGUUUCUGAGAAACAAAUUUGGUUGGUGCAUGCCCAGAGAAGAGCAAGUCAUUCGAUCUCAGACUCUGACAGUUGCUCCCCCUG
rnacentral:sRNA from 1 species